rnacentral:lncRNA from 1 species
CGCAGAGAGACCAGUUACAAGGCUACUACUUAAACCCAGAAUGACCUAAUUAGCAAAUUGGAUGACAACUAAGACAAAUAGCUUAACAUGAUUCACAGCCAUGAAUAAGAUGAAGGUACAAAAAGUAUGUGGAAGAAAAAUAAAUAACACUGUAUCAACCCUGUGGCAGCUUCCACAAAAAGAACGCAUCCUCACAGGAAGACUAGAACCCAUAGAAAUCACAUUUCAUGGCCUUCAGAAUUAAUUCGUGCCCUUUCCUUGACAUCAUUGCUUAUCAAAGCACGGUCCCCAGAGCAGCAGUCUCAUCAUCUCCUGGGAAAACUGCUGGAAACGCAGACUCUCAGGCCCCACCCCAGACUGACUGAAACAGAAGCUGGGAGUGGGCCUGCAAGCUGGGCAUCGGCCAGCUUCCAGAUCUCCGGAUACUACUUUCUUACCCCUCCUACUUGCACUCACCCCACCAAAAUUAAUAGAUCAGAGCUUCGACACUAGCUAUUGUUCUCAUUGUGCACGACGUGGAAAUGUCUCAAGCAAAGAUCUCUCACCUAUCAGUCAAAAUCCUCCCGUAAAGUUGGCUUUCAUUGGAGGAUCUCCUCCGUAACGUGUGGUUUCAAGCCUGCUGCCCACCAAUAUUAACAGUCCCAGUUCUGCCAGGCAGUGGCAGGACAGCACUUCCCCGCCCGCUCAAUUGGAUAUCGCCCCUUGCUUCAGCCAAUGAAAUGCAAGCGGAAGUCACGGGGCUCUCUCCAGGGCAGAAGUGUCAGGAGCCAGCGAACUCCAAGUCCACCGGGCUUCCUUCCUCUCGGCAGGUACCAGCAGCAUCUGACCUGGUGGCUCCUCCAUCAGCCUAGGUCCCCGAGCGACUGUUCUAAGCAGAAAUCCCCCCUGCCUACCCACAUUGAUGUGGAGCAUGAAAUAAACUGAAAUUGUAAAACUCCGACUUCGUGCAGAGCUCUCUGGAUGGC